AUCCACACUAUCAAUGAAUGGAUUCACCCACGAUAUGACGUGAUUGUUUCAUCUAGGACGAGGACAUGGCAUCCUAUUACCAGCUAUCGCACAAAUAGGAUGCCACGUCCUCAUCCUAGAUGGAACGACCACGUCAUCUCACGGGUGAAUCCAUUCAUCGAUAGUGUGGUU
rfam:Oryza meridionalis cultivar OR44 (W2112) chromosome 3, whole genome shotgun sequence.